rnacentral:lncRNA from 1 species
CAGGGCCGUAGGUCUGACAGCUGCUCGGGCUCGCGCGGACGCGCGCCUCCCUCCAGCCCGCCCUCCCCACGCCUGACUUAUUACCCUCUGCUCCUCCUCCCCCUGCUGUUCCAAAACACCAGUCGACGCGAGCAAAAUACAAUGCCGCCUCGCCCGCCGUAAACAGCCAGGCGGGGAAAGCGCACAUUUGCUGCUGCGCGUCCGCCGGCUCUGCUCCCAGCCCCUUCCCGUUCCUAGAAAAAUGCCAUAAAAGCGAGCAGGGCGCUGGGCUAGCAGCUGCGCGCCCGGCGGCCGCGGUUCCCUUCCCGCGCCGCUUCCCCACGCCUCCCCGCCCGCUCCGCGCACCCACUCCCCGCGUAAACUUACCCCGCCGCCCUGCCCGGCGCCGCGGCCCACGUCCCGGGGCCAGGGACUCACCUCGCCAGAGAACUUUGAGUCCUUUCCGCCUCUUCUUCCCCGCGUCUUUCCAGCCAGCAGCCCCCUCCCGGCAGCAGGCGCGGUGGGCGAUACGGGGGUCAACGAAAGCUCGCUGAGGGGACGCGCAUCACAUGGCAGCUCGUUCCCAGCCCCCCGAGUGUGCUGGUAAGGGGGAGGGGAAGGGGCGAGGGGAGAUCGGGGAAAAGCGAGAACCGGGCGGCGGCGGGACUGGGCAGGCGGGGUGGCGAGGGCGGCGGCGGGCGCUCACUUUAGCGCUGCUGCGAUCGCAGCCCGGGCGUGCACAGCCGCUGCUGCUGCUGCUGCUGCUGCUGCUGCUGAGGCGGCGGCGGCUCGGCGCUGUUUGCUCCGCGCCGCGCGGCUCGCGCUCUCCCCGGAACGCCCACACUCUCAAUCGCUACAUUGUUGACAUUCGGCGCUGACGUCACCCGCUCCCCAUUCACAAUAACUUUACGGGAGCCGGGCAGCGCACCUCCCCGGCCGCUGGGGCGCCGUACGCCUGGCGACUAGCGUAAGCCGCUCCGCGAAUGGCGCUCCGGGGGCUGGGGCGGGGGGCGGGGGCGGGCGCGCGCUUCGCUGGCUCGCGGGAGGGGGCGCGCCUCACGCCGCCGCUGCAGCCGUUCGCCCCGCUUUGUGCGGCCGCGCGGCCGGGAGAGCCCUCUCCUCAACGCCGGCCUGACAGACUCGCUCAGCCUGGCCUUGCCAGGCCUUGAAAGACACGGGUUUGGGGCAAGUGGGAUUAGAGUAGUGAUGAAGGCUAGUGUGUCACAAGGGGAGGGUGCCAGAGCCCCAGGCACUAUACCCAGGGAGGAGAGCCAAACCUCGAAACCUGGGAUUCCUGGGUUGUCUAGCCUUGCCCUGGAGGGACGGGAAAAGAUGCACAACGGGCCCCUACAAAGCUAACCAGGCCCUGUCUUGGGGAUGGGGGAGUAUGCAUAGGAAGAACAGUGUCCUACCCAAGAGAGACUUUGAUGUUUGAAUUCUUUUCUGGAUUGCCUUGGCCUUCUGCAAACUGGAUGAGCCUGGAAGCCCCCAUGCCAGAGUUUAUGGAAGUGCACGGAUCUAUUGCGAAGCCUAAAUAAAAAGCCACCUUCCCAGCUUUAGCCUCACCUCCUACUGUGCUGUAGCCACUUUCCCCUGCCUUUACUUUAGACACUGCUUCUGCCCUUUAAGACCAUCGUGUGGCUGCCCUGUAGGAAGAAAGCUUGGUGGUGGUAGGAUUUUAAAGGGAGUAAUUAGAACUUAGGCUGAACGUACAUUUGCAAUAAAACAAGGUUGUGUUAAUGUUGUGCUGGUGCCUGCAACUUUACCCCUCACCAAGGCCAAGAAAUUCUGCCAGGUUUCCCUAAACACCUAUAACUUGGCCCUCUUGUGUAAGGCAGUAUUCCAUAUUAUUACAUGUGGUGCUGAUUUUUAAUGAAUAUUAUAAAACUUUGGCUUGCUCUACUGAGAGAGGGAUCAUAAAUCCCCCCUUGUAAAAUGGGCACUGGCAUAUGCUGAGGAAGCAGUGAAGCAUCACCCUGGGAGUCUUGUGAUAUCAUCCAAGUGUUGCUUGAGCCACCUUCAUUUGAGAGCAGAGUUUUAAAAGGCCCCAUUCGGAAUGUCUGUGUGGUAAGCUAAGUGACGGCCCAAUGCAAGCUGAAGGUGCUGAGCUAAUUUUUUUAACAGCCCUGCAGAUCCUUGAAGUGUGGCAGCACAUGAGGAGAUUUUUUUCUGCUAACCUUUCUGGUUUCAGAUAAGGAAAAGUCUCAGAAGUAGCCUCUGGUUUCUGAUCUACUGCCCCUUGGGGGAAAAAACACCUUGCUUCUGAAGUUCCUGCCUGACUCCUCUUGGCAAGGACAGAAGACCCAUCCCUAGUCUGACUUGUGCUUGCCAUUUCUCACCAGUCCUAUGAAUGGUUCUGCUUUUGCAUUCUUCAUUCUUGCACGUGUUGGUGAAAAACUAUGCAUUUUAAUAGCACCAAUCAAUGUUUUUCUCACAAGAGCCAGGCUUGAGGUCAUCUCUAUGAGGAUGCAUAAAUUCAUUUCUUUUUAUGUAGACUAUGGCUGCCCUGCUAUGGGAGUGGAAUUCUGCACAUUAGUGUGGAGGUGGGUGAGGAGGGGGAUCCCGUUGCAAACUGAUCUGGUCCCAGAUAGAUACAACACAGGCUAGCCAGCCACCGUGAUGCAUGCCUGUAUUUCAGCCUCUCUUCACAGCACUUCUGCAGAGGUUAGGCUCUAAGAUAGCCUUGGUCAUGAGUGUUUGCUUUCCAUUCCCUGGGCUGUGGUGCUACACUUUACGUGUUUACGAUGGAAAACUGAUGCAGGGCAGGGGCUUUCCUUUUCUGUAUUUAUGGCAAUAACCUGAAUAGAGGUCGACUUAUUUCCCAUGUCUGGAACAUGCAACCUUUUCUAAUACAUCCCCCCCACACACUACAUAAUUACAUAUGUGUUUGGAUCUGGAAUAUGGGCUUCAUCUGUGAUACAUUUCUAAAGCACAAUAUGGUUGCCAGGGACAAUAACUUUGUACCAUGGCAUUAAAGCUAAUCAACAUGAUUUCUAGAAAUCUCCUUGAUUUUUGUAAAAUAGAGAAAAGAAGAUAUACAGACAACAAAAAGAUAAGGAAAGGAAAACAGAAGAAAGAGUGGUUCUGGAGUCUUCAACUUUGUGCUCCCCAGCACCCUAGACAGAAUUUGAAGAUGCUGAGAAGAUAAAAAUGGUUUUUCUCAGACAAAACAGUAGGCAGAAUUUCAAAUGCAGUUGGCACCUUGAAUAAGGCUUAGCAGGGCAAAGUUAACAUCCAGUGAAAUCUGACAAAAGAGAACAGAGUGGGAUGCUGAGAGGAAGACUGCCAAAGCCAGCAGGAGCCAUGAUUAUGGGAAGUUCCUUGAGAGUUUUACUAACUAGGACAAGCUCCUUGGAAUUAUGACUUGUGUUUAUUAUUUCAAAAACAGAUGUUAUAAAGUGUGUGUAAAGUAUAAAACCUCAGCUUAGUAAUGUACAGGUGACACUAGAGAGUUGAUGGAAUUUGAAUAGCUUUGAGUGGUGAUUUGUUCAACAAUUUUUGAACCACAUGUUAUGAGGAAGGUAAUCUUCUACAGUCUGGGAUGUGAUAGUGAACAAAACAAAGCCUGGGUUCUCAUGGAAUUCUCAUUCCGGUGAUGAGACCAGGAGGGAGACAGACAAGGAGUCAAGCAUAUAUACUCAUAGAUAUGUAGUCAGAUUGUGUAUUAUAAUGGCUUCAGGGGGUGGGGAUAAAAUAAACAAAAGAGCUCAGGAGUAACAGGGGUUGGGGAUAUUCUUACAUGGGGGUGAUUGGUCAUAGAAGUCUUUCUUAAUGAGGGAAUAUUUGAGUAGAGAUAUGAAUGCCUAAGGGGCAACCACUACAGCUAUCCUGGAAGUAAAAGUUCUCAGAUAUGAGGGAGAGAAGUGCAACGGCUCUGAGGAACAGUAGACUUGGCAUGUUCCAGGAACAAGAAGAGCCAACAGGUCAAGAGGUCAGUAAUUGAUACAGAAGAGCAAGGAGGGGAGUAGCAGGAGAUAACACCAGAGAGAUAACCAGCAGGCCUGUUUUAGGUGGUGGGAAGACAUUAUAGGGGUUUCUACAGAGAAAGCACACGACUGACUGGGUCUUGACUCCCAAAGGAUCAUUCUGCCUGCAAGGUGGAGGGGAGGGCAAGAAUAGAAGUAAAGAGGCAGGAGGCUAUUGAGAGGGAGGUGAUAGUGAUUUGGACUGGAAUAACUACCACGAAUGGAAUCUGUAAAGUUUCAAAGUGAAUUGGGAAGAAUUUACUGAUGAUUCAAUUGUGGAAUGUGAGUGAAAGAGGAGUCAAAGAAAAUUCUGUAUUUUGACCCGAGCAGCUAAUUGGUGGAGAUUCCAUUUAAUGAGUACGGAAGACCACAGGAGGAAGAGAUACAGGUGAAAACCACAGGAUUUUGUUCUGGAUACAGUAAACUUCAGAUGCCUACCUAACUUCAGACACCUAAGUGGAGAAGUUGGGCAAGUGAUUAGAGGUGGGGAUCCAGAAUUCCGGUGAGAGUCCAGACUAGAGGUAGAAAUCCACAAGUCACCAACACAGAGCAGCUGGGAAUAUAGUGGAGAAGAGAAGGGAAAAGGAAAAAAAUCUGAAAAUUAAGAUCUGGGCACUUCAACAUUUAGAGGCUAGGAAGGUGAAAAAAAGUGGGGAAGACCCAGCCAAGGAGGCCGAGAAGCAGCAGCCAAUGAGAGAGAGGGGAGAGGAGAGGGUAGCAUCCUAGAGACCAAGUGAGAAAGGAUGUUUUGAGAAGCAGGAAGUAACCAUCUGUGCCUGUUCUGCUGAUGAGACAAAUGAAAUGAGAGAAUACAGUAUUAAUUUUUAUGAUUGGUGACUUAGAAGUCAUUGGUAUCCUUAGCAGAGGGAGGAUGGCAGAAAUAAAGCCUGGCUGGAGUGGUUUUGAGAGAGUGUGGGAGGAGAGGAAGUGGAAGAGAAUAGACCCCUCUUUAGAGGAGGUUUGCUGUGAAAGGGGGAAAUAGACAGGGGAUGUUGGGAGAAAUUAGAGCUCAUUGGUUUCAAGAGGGGGAAACUAUGGACAUGUAAAGAGAAAUGGAAUGAUUUCUGGAGUGAAGUUCUUGAGUUGAGAGUAGAACCACUUAAUCCCUAGUGAUAGGAGGGAGGGCAAUGCAGGUGGUGUGCGGGAGGGCUGGGAUGUGCUAUUGAGAAGUGUGGGGAGCUCUAGUUUGAAUGGUUCUGUUUUCUUAGUGGACUAAGAAGCAAGAUGGUCAGCUGAUGGUGGAGGAGGGCAGGGUAUAGGAGCUGAGGCCACAAAAGAAGUGUGAGCUAGUUAGUGCUAGGCAAUGUAGCAGAAUUGCUGAGCAGCAAAGAAGACUUGGAUGGGUCACUGCUGGGGUCUUUAUGGACAUGCCCCUGCCAAGAAGAGUUAUUUCUUGCCAUACCAGAUCUCACCAAGUUCUGAAAAAUGAUCAAUGCAUCAUAAAGCAGAAAACACCAUAGUUUCUAAGGUGACUAGGAUCACACAACAAUUUGACCUCUAGCUGUUGUUGAAUUUGACUGACAUUUCUCUUAUUUGUCUAUCUCUACCUCCUCCCAAGCCACUCAAUUCCUAAGGUAAACUUUGGAAAUACUCCCAAAGAGGAAGCAACAUAGAGAUAUAGCCCAAGACUUAAUUCUGUACUAAACAAUGACACUAUUGUCUAAAAACUUAGUGAAAUAAGUUAAUUCUUCAGUCUUCACGACAUGAGCAUUUGUCAUGCUGAGAGAUGAAAACCUAGAAAACAUUGGACCUUACCUUCCAGUAACUUAAAAGAAAUCUAAGUACAUGGUCAAAACUAGUAUACACAAAAUAGUUGACCAAUACAAUGAUUUUAUGUUUAAUUGCUUUCUAUUAACUAUUUUAAUAAAUUAUAAUAAUUAAUAAUAUUUUAAAUUAUUUACAUAGAAAUUAUAUCUAUUAGAAUUUAUAUUAAUAAAAAAUUUAAGAAUGUAUGAGGGUAUUUUUGGCAUUAUAGCAAAAAGAAAAUAGAAAAAUAGAAAUGCCUCUUAGCAGAGGAUUGGCUAAGUAAAUGGUGGUUCAUAUAUAAAAUUGAAUAUUUGGACUCAUAAAAAAUCAUAUUGAAGAAGUAUGUAUGUUGGCAUGCCAAUGUUUUAUUAGUAUUUUUUUUUUUAAAAAAAAACAAUUUGCAAAACAGUAUUUUCUACUGAGAAACUGAUGUGACUCCAUUUUUGAAAAACCAGCCUAUACCUCAAAGCAGGGCCUGCCAAAGAAGGGGGGGUGACCCUUGUCCUUGGGAAACUCCUUCCUAGGCACAUAGUUACCCUGCUGAGUCAUUUGUCUGUACCAGAUGUCCUUGACUCAGCAAAUGCAAGUUCCUGAAACGACCAAAAGAAUGCUUGAGGCCUAAUUCAGACCAUAGCAACAACCAAUCAGAGUGAGACAGGGAAGAUACCUGAAAUACCAAGCGGCCCUCCCAGUAGUUUUGAUGAUUGAUAACAUGACUAGGCAACCCUGCAAGUUUAGCAUAUACACUCUUGCAACGUUCAAACGUAUCCACCACUUGAACUAACCAAUCAACUUUACCUGACUUGUUCCCGCCAAUGAAUGUGCUAAUCAAUGUUAAGAGUUGUUGUUUGAUUUUCCCGAGAUUUGAAAUGAUUUGCUGUAUGAUGUUGUGAUGCAUAGAGUAUCCUCAAAAACCUAUAAAUCCUCACUGAACUAAGAGUCAGGACUUACUCCUCGAGAUUGCUGCGUCAGAAACGGUUGUGAGUCCAGGCUGGAGCUUGCAAUAAAGACUCUUGUGUGAUUGCAUCAGAUUCAGCUCUUGGAGGUCUAUUGGGGUCCCACGAAUCUGGCAUUACACUACAUGAUCUCAUUUAUGAAAAAAUUGCUUGUGUGUGCAUAGAAAAAAAGUCUGGAAGGGUUUAUAUAUAAUAUUAAAGGCAUUCUUUCAAGAUGAAGAGCUGGUGAGUGGCUUUUCCGUUGCUUAACUUUAAAAAAUGUUUCUCUAAUAUAAAUGUAUUAGUUCUGUAAUAAAGAAAGCCAAUAAAAGUUAUAAAAUUCAAGAUGUAUAUAAUUAAAUUCUAAUAAGGACUUAAGUGUUGUAGGUGCUAAGAGGGAAGAAAGUUAUGACUGUUGGAGCAGUCCAGAAAGGUUCACUGAGAAUGUGAAAUUUUAGUUGAACCUUAAAUUCAAGACAGAUCCAAAAAGGAAGAAAGAUGAUUGGGAAUUCCAUACCAGAGGAUGCCCAGAGACUGGGAUUUGGUCUGACCAAAGUAGCCUUGUAUGGGAGGGCUGGGAAAGAGUUAGUUAUCAUGACAUCAAGAAGGUGAGGCCAGAAGAAGAAGGCACAGGAGACCAUGCCUGCUGUCCUGGCUAGCGAGGAACACUAAAGUCUGCAGUGAUAAGAGGCAUUGUGAUUGUGACUUGCUUUUUUUUUUUCAAAAUGUACAUUUUUCCUUCCUUCCCCUCCCAUUGGCCAAGACUUAGUAUUUGUUACAAAGCAAUCACUUACCUGCCUGUCUUUUUUUGUCCAACAUUUUUUAAGCACACAUAGUCCAUGGGUAAGCACUAUUCUAACCUUUGGAGAUGCUUAAGCCAGGCACUCAUGGGGUAGAGGGAAAGAUGAACAGGUGAGCAAGUCAUCACAGCACACUAUGCUGAUGGCCAGAAUAGGACAUGGGGCAUUGCCCAUUGGCUCUGAUUUGGAGAGUUUGAGAUGGCUUCCUGGAGGAGGUGACAAAAGAAGUGGAUUCCGAAGGAUAAGAUUUUAUCAAAAGAAGAUAUUGGAAGAUCGGGAGAAAUAGAGUAGUGAAUUGAGAUAGUCAGAAGUAACAGCCCAUAGCAGAAUAUGGGACUGGAAAGGUAGACAUGAACAAAUUUUAUCCACAGGACAAAAUUCUCCUUGAACUUUUCCAGUGAAUGCUCUUAAUGGCAGAGGAGAUGAAAUGCUAAUUUUUAUUCCUAGGGAACCCAGAACAGGCUCCCAAAUGGCCUUCACCAAGAACAAAGUGUCAUUGCAGUCUCUUGUUAUAUGUUAAAAAGCCAACUGAACUUCUUUUGUUAUAUAUUUGUGGGUCAAAUUUACUCUAAAUUUUUUAAAGCCUAUUUGUGACCAUCAGGACUAAAGAUUCCUCUCCUACCCUCAAAGUUGUGCCUUCAAAGUUCCCUAGAGAUUCUGUAAAUUCUGGGUGGACAAGUAGAGAGGCAAUGACCAAUUUUCUAUUGUCAAAGAGGCAUAAUCAGAUCUGACUUUGGAAAGAGCACAUUGGCUCUAUAAAGGGUCUAAAGAGGCCAGAGACAACAGCUGAGCUCCAGGAACCUAAGCCAAGGCAGUGAAAGGCGCUGGAGAAAGGAGGAGAAUUCAGAGAAGCUUGUGGCUGAGAGGUCAUUUGCAUGUGGGAGGUGAGAGAAGGGGAGGAACAACAAGAGGGAAGAGGGAUAGGAGUCUUUUGGCUAGAGUUAGUAGGAAAGAAGUGGCUCUGGAUGCAGGAGGAAGGUAAGAUCACACUGGUAAAGGGUGGAGUCAGAAGGGAGGAGGGCCAAGUCUGGAACUUUGAGGAAUAGCUUUGGGAUUGGGUGUGGGUGAAAGACCAGGAGUUCAUGAAGAAAAUGGAAUAGAGCAAGCAGGAAGGUUAAAGGUCCAUAGACUGAGAAGUUGAGUAAGACAAGAAAAGAGCAUUUCAACAAGGGACCUGGGAAUAACAUUCCUUGACAAAGAAAGGCCGGUGGAAAAGGGAAUGCUUGAUAUGACAGCGGGGAGCAUCUAGAUGCCCUGCAGGAGAAAGUGGGGAGAAGUGGAGCUUUGGAGGAAUUGAGAAAUGACUGGAGGAAGAGGUUGGAGAUGGGGAAAUGGGACAGAUUACAUCUAUAGUACUGAAUGUGGAGGUGGAAACUGAGUGAGAAUCUAGAACUCUGGGACAGGAAGUGGCCUAUUGAUGGUGAUGGUAUUGGGGAAUGUGAGCACUAAACAUAAUUUGCAGGGUGGGGAAGGGUCAUCCAUAGCCCUACUCUGCAAAAUGGAAAUUGAAAAUUAAGAAAGGGAUUUUGCUAAUAUUUUGAAGUUUUAGGAUGAGUUAGGUAACCGGUGGAAUGAGUCAGAAUUUGUUUUCCCUCCUAGAGAAGGAGAUGAAACCAGGCUUAGAUAAACAAAAUAAUAGUAAGAUCACUUUCCUUUUAUUGCCUCUGGAAAAGAAAAAACAAUGGUUGUAACAAUAUUUCCCUUCCUCACCUCCUCAGAGCUUGUUUAAAUGCCUGACUUUUCUAAGCUAAUUAACAAAAUAUCCGUCUCUUCAUUCUUUCCAACUCUAAAAAAUGCUUUUGAUCAAAUAAACUGGUUUUAACUUUUCAUCACAUCUUUGCUUUAAAGAAACACGAAAACCUUUGUGGAUGGACAGAAGCAAUCCAACAAUUUUUAAACUACUGUGAAGAGAAAGCCUUGAUGAUUUUUUCCUAAUAAAAAUGUACUUGAAAUUUAAUUAUUCUCAACCAACUUAUGAUUUUUUUUUUUUGAGGGGCACUGAGAAUUGAGUGCACUAGCCCUAUAGCAAUUUCCCCAACAAAUAUGUAAGACCAUACUUACAGUUUCUAAUCUAUUUUUAAAAAGAUUGUUUAUGUGGUAUCAUUACAUGAGGGCAUCCAACCCGAACAGUACUAACAGCUCUGCGCUGGUCAGCCCAGCUGUUGUACAUGCACAUAUGUGCUUCCGGCAGAGUGCCUGUGUCAGUGACAGAGAUUUGGGCCUCAUCUGUCUCUCCAUUUUCCCAAGAUGUCUCCUACGUAGUUCUCCACCCUAACACACAUGAAAGAGCUCACAGCUCUGCACUUCCGUUGUCAGGCACCCGUGGAAACUGUUGCCACGUGCCCAUUCUUGAAUUGCCCUUUGGUCUGCAGAUGCCUGAAAAUAUCGGGUGCACAGUUUUGUUCCAGUCUCACUUGAGUACCCUCUGGAUUUACAGAUCUUGUCGUCAGGCAAGACACUAUUGGUAGGUUUCCUCUGUGCUCACUUUUCUGUGGCUUGCAAGGGCAGUGUCAUGGGGUGGGUUGGUUUGAGAUGUGUGUCAGGACUGCUGAUGGGGCAGAGUCCAGAGAAGGAGCCUGUGUCCCCAUAGCUGAUGAGCAGCUCAUGGUAAUAAAAGCAGGUGUUGAGUCAGAAUGCUUAUUUAUUAAUUUAUCAUAAAUAUGUUAUUUGCAAGACAGACUACUUUGUUCUUCAUUCACUAAAAAUUCUUGUCUUCUGAACGUUCUUUUUUUUUAAUUCAGUGGUAGAUAAAAUGUUUAUCCGCCUGGUGCCACGGCUUACACCUGUAAUCCCAGAUUCUCAGGAGGCUGAUGCAGGAGGGUCACAUGUUUGAGGGCAGGCUGGGCAACAGAGCGAGACUGUCUCAAAAAAGAAAAAAGAAAGCAAAAACCAAAAUAAUGUUUAUCUUCAUUUUUGGCCUUUCCUGUUAACUGCUGCCUCACUUGUGGGUUCAUUUCAAUAAAAGACAAUGUCUUUUGAAAACAAUUUAUCUUGAAAUGUCAAACUUUUGGAAAGGCUGCAAGAGUGUUACACAGAAUAUCAUAUCUCCCUCAGCCAGAUCGCAGUGGUUAACAUUUCAACACAUUUAUUGUUUAUCUCUCUGUCUCUGUCUACAGAUAAAUAUGUAGAUAGAUAGAUCCACAUACAUACCCAUUACCAUUUUUAUUUUCUGAGUAAUUUAAAAGUAAGUUGUCAACACAAUGCUCCACCAACCCCUAAAUGCAUUAGUGCAUAUUUUCUAAAGCAAUGACACUACAUAACUACAACACAAUGUCCAAAUCAGGAAGUUAACAUUACUAUAACACUACCAUCCAUUCUACAGACCUAAUUCAAAUUUCACCAACUGACCCAACUAUAUCUCUUUUUCCUUUCUGGAAUAAGAUUCAAUCCAGGAUCAUGGGUUGCACAGUUAGAUGUCAGUCUUUAGUCUCUUUCCAUCUUGAACAGCUUCCUCCUCCUGUCUCCUCAGUACAGUCCUACCAUAGCCUUCAGGGAAAGGGAAGGGAUGGGAUAAAGGAAGCAACAGUAGCACCUCUUUUAACUGUUGCUGCACUCAAAUGUUAUGCUAAAUUUAUUGAGCUCUUCAUUUAAGAUCUGUGCAACCUCUGCUUGUAAGGCUCAGAGAGAACCAGAGAAAGAUCAGGUGAAAACAAGUUUGUAUUUAGUCUCUAGCUAAUGAAGCAUCGCAAGGGAAUGAUAAUCCCUUACCUCAAAACACUGCACCCUCUUCUUCCUACCCCUUUUCGUCUUCCUACAAACUCCUCAUCCUAAGUGAAGAUUCCUUCACCACUGCUCAGGUCAGAAUCUUUCUAUAGCUACCUUGCAUCUAAAUCCUUUUACAGGUUUAAUACAAUUAUAUCCAAAUUUAAUAUCAUGAUAAAAUUCUGUGUACAAUUCAGUGGUCUUAAGUAUUGCUGUGCAACCAUCACCAUGAUCCAUCUCCACAACUUCAUCCUGUAAAACUGAAACACUAUACCCAUGAAACAACAAACUCCACACCCACCUCCCCCAAAUCCCUGACAACCAUUUUUUUUUUCAUUUCUGUCUGUAUGAAUGUGAUUACACAAGGUGCUAAUUUCUUCAUCUCCUCAUGAACAUUUGUUAUUUUCUGGAGUUUUCUUUCUUUAUGCAUUUUUUUGAUAGUAGUUAUCCUAAUGGGUGUGAAGUAAUACCUGACUGCAGUUUUGAUGUGCAUUUCUUUAGUGAUUAAUGAUACUGACCAUUUUUCUUGUACUUGCUUGUCAUUUAUACAUCUUCAGACAACUAUCUAGUCAAGUCCUUUGCCCAUAUUUUAGUUGGGUUGUUGUGUUAUUAUUGAAUUUUAGGUGUUCUUUAUAUAUUAAGGAUAUCAACCUAUUAUCAAACACACAAUCUGCAAAAUCUGCAAGAAAUAGAAUCUUCCAGGAUGCCUGAUGGAAGUGGGCAGGGAGAAACUGAUUUCGCCAGCUCCUUCCAUUCUUCAGAAACUCAUUGGGAAUUCCAGGGUCCUAACAAGAAAUCUGCCUUCAAAGACUCAAUUCAUUACUCAGCAGAUCAAGCUCUGUCUGUAAUCUUUAAGGAAAACCUGCUGGAGGGCCAGCCUGGCAUGUGUCUAGUAUGGGCAUGGGGCUUCUGGCAUUAUUCUGGGCCAGAAGAGGAGCCUGGAGUCUGACUUGCUCUCAUUACUCAUGGACUUCCUUGUCAGCACAGGCAAAUCUCCUUCACUGUUGUCUUGUUCUCAGUGUUUCUUGGGCUUUGGGGAAGUGGAAAACUAGGACUUAGUCCGAGAGCCACAAGUUCAACGGAAACAAUAACAAUUCCAGUAGUCACAUUAGCAGCAGGUUCACAUGACACUGAUGGCUAAUGUGUUGAUCACUUGCAGUUCUUAGUGCUUCACAUGCAAUGUCUUUGUGUGACCAACUUUUUCCAAUUUAUCUGUUGUUUAAUUAGGUUGUUUUCUGUUUUAGCACUAAAAGUCUCACAUUGCACGACGUCCUUUAGUCUUAGGCUUUCUUUAUCUGUUUCCUGCUAUUACAGAAUACCUGCAACUGGGUAAUUUGUUGAGAGAAAUCUACUUCUCACAGGAGGAGAUUAAGAAGUCAAAAACAGAGGAGCCACAUCUGGUGAGAACUUUCUUGCUGCAUCAUCCCUUGGCAGAAGGGCGGAGGCCAAACAAAGCACAUGGGAGAUAGAGCAAGGGAGGGUCAAACUCAUUUUUAUAAGAAAACAAUAUCCAUGAUAACAUUAAUCCAUUUCUAAUCACUUUCUCCCUAAAGAUCCCACCUCCCAACACUGUUGCACUGGGGAUUAAGUUUUUAACACAAGAACUUUGGGGGUCACUUUCAAACCAUAGUGGGACAAACCAGGAGGCUUGGUCACCUUAACCAACCUGAGAAGAAGGGAACUUGACACAGUGGAGUGAAGAGGUUUCCUGAAGACACCUCAUCAAAUAUCAAAAGCAGAAUUUGAACUCAUGCAGUCUGGCUCCAAGGCUUGUUCUCAUAACCAAUAUGCGAUGCUUUCAAAGCUGGUAAAAGCAGCCUCUGCCAGCAAAUUCUUGGGCUUGGGCCAGAUACCAAAUGGAUAGAAAAUAGCACUGGUAGCUGUGGGGGAAAUAGUAAAUUGUGCAAUAUGAAAUUUCCCAAAAUUAAAAAUGGAAACUUCAUGCUGACAAAAUGCCAAAGAUUGCUUUCUAGACUCAACUAACUGGCUAUCAUAUUUGGUGCCUCACUUUAUUCUAAUCUUGGUUGUACCUUUUAUUAUGGUGCAUGUGAGAAUGGGAAUGGGAGUACAUCAGCCUGGUUAGUGGGGAGCUUUAAGGUAGGGAGGUGCAAGAUGGAAUUCUGGAUCUCCUUGAAGAAGGAUAUGAUCUCUCAUAUCCUCUCCUCCCUCUCUCAGAUAUAUGGAAUAUCAGGACUUAGCUGCCACCGUAUCUAAUCUCUUGCUUACUUUCUUCCACUUCCUCUGCAGUUGUGCUCUUUGUGCCUCUUUUUUCCUCCUCUCUUCCACUUACUUGGUAAUGUUACUUUCAAUCCACCAUACCCAGUUACAAAUAUUAGACAAUCAACCCAGAUCCCUUUGCUGUCAAAAUUAGGAGAGGUCUGGUACAGCAUAAAGAACUGUGUCCUUAUCUCUGCUCUAUAAUUUCCUAAACACAUCAUUUCACUUCUUUGAGCCAUGGUUUCCUCACUGACAAAACUACUAGUGUAACUCUAUUAUAAUGGUAGUCAUCAACAAUUCAACAAGAUGAUGUGUGAUAGCAACCAGUAAAGUUUCUUGAGCAUUGUAGGUGCUUAAUUAAACAUAAUUUUCUUGGCUCCAAAACCCAUCUGUAAAGUUGAUUUGGACUAGAGUUGAAAAGCUUGGAAAAGUGUAGCCAGUCAAUUAUCAGGACAGGCCCAAGGAUGGUAAUAGGAGGAGGGGAUGCAAUGCCACAGGAAAAAGACUCAGGCAGGUGCAAAUACCAAAGACUUGAUCAUCAAGUCCUGAUAAUUGUUAAACGAUGGGGUUACUUUUGCCUUGGAUCUGUUAAUUUUAUCAUUUAAAUUGUUUUUCUGUUUCAAAAGUGGAGACUUAUUCAAGGCACUGUAAGAAAAGGGGCAGAAGUAGUUAUUGUAAAGAAAUGUAUGGACUCAAUUUGCAACUGGAAUUUCAAAGCUGUCAAAAGUCCUAGGGUCAGUCUCUCAAGGGCUAUGUGGUCUCUGCUUUUCUUGGAAUGUUUCUGCUCCAUUCUCUGCACUACUGACCAGCUUUCAAUGCUUGUUCAGGAAAUCCUGAGGGAAACCUGCUUAGCCUCACCAGCUGGGGUACCUGGUUCAAUCUCCUUGAGUAAUUUGUCCCCCAAACCAUUGUAUCUCUUGUUUCUAGUUGUCAAGUGGUCAAAUCUUAACUUGCCCCAGAGUGUAUAGGAGAGGUCCAUCUUUUAGUUUCCAUGGCUCCACAAUCUGCAGUUCUGGUGUCACUCCAGCCCUCCCUGAUGUUUCAUGAAAGUAAGGUCACAUGCUGCUCCACAGCACAGCAACCUGACUUCUGAUAUACCCCAGGACAUCUGCUCCCUCACUGCUCCCUGGGAAAUGGCUUCUCCUUUCACUCUUCUCUGGCCUAGGAGAUGUGGGGGUAGUAAGAGCUUUUCUGGUCGCAUCAUACCUUUAUUCUGCAGGAAGAAGAUGAUAGAAAAGCUUGUGGCUUUCAGAUGGAGCCUCAGACUGGGCUCCAAAUCACUCUUGUCUUCCAAUACCAAGCCUUUAUGGCUUCUUCCAGUUCUUCCAGGUGGAUUUCUUCACUGCUUAUAGGUCUUUUUCCUUGCAGGGCUUCUGGCUCCCACCAGUAUAGGUAGGUUCUAUCACUCUCUGUCCCCUGCAUGGUCAGACUUGCUAGUGCACUAGGAACCCCAGGAAAACUGGGGGGAUGUUGAGGGAUGCUUAUUGCAAAGCCUUUGUGUCUUCUGUGAAGGCACAAAGGAUCUCUGAGACCCCCUCCACCUUACAUGUAAGUCAGUUCAAAUCUUCUCAGUGUGGGGCUCAGCCAAGACAUUCCCAGUGCCCAUAACUUAUUUGAUUCCUAAAAUUUUCAGAAAUCAAUAUAGCCCCUUUUUCUUUCUCUUUUUCUUUUUUAAAUAUUUAUUUACUAUGUAUCUUUAGUUUUAGGUGGAUACAUUAGUUUGCUUUUAUGUGGUGCUGAGGAUCGAACCCAGUGCCUCAUGCAUGCUGGGCGAGCGCACUACCAUAUAUAACAGUGGAAUGCAUUACAACUCUUAUUACAUACAUAGAGCUCAAUUUUUCAUAUCUCUGGUUGUAUACAAGGUAUACUCAUACCAAUUUGUGUCCUCACACAUGUACUUUGAAUAAUAAUGAUCAUCACAUUCAACAUUCAUUAAUUACCCCAUGCCCCCUCCCUUCCCCCCCACCCCUCUGCCCUAUCUAGAGUUCCUCUAUUCCUCCCAUGCUCCCCCUCCCUAUCCCACUAUGAAUCAGCCUCCUUACAUCAAAGAAAACAUUAGGCAUUUGUUUGCCCCUUUUUUCUUUUAAGAUGGAAUUUAUGUUGUCAAGGCUGCCCUCAAACUCCUGAGCUCAAAGAAUCCUCCACUUCAGUGUGUUAAUCAGCUUUCCGUCACAAUGACAAAAUAUGGGAGAAAAACAACUUAAAAGAAGAAAAGAUUUGUCAGCUUAUGGUUUCAGAGGUUUCUGUUUAUGGUCACUUGGCUCCAUUAUUUCUGGAGCUGUAUAAGGAAGUACACCAUGACAGAAGGGCAUGUUGGAGGAAAGCGGCUCACCUCAUGGCAGUAAGGGGCAGCUUUCGCGGACAAUAUACCUUUCUUUCUCCAACCAGGUCCUACCUCCCAGUAGCCUGUUAAACUAGGAAUCAGUGGAUUAAUCCAUUGAUGAGGUUAGAGCCCUCAUGAUCCAAUCAUCUCCCCAAAUCUCAUCACAGAAUAUUGUUACAUUGGGGGAAAAGGCUUCAACACAUGAGCUUUUUGGGGAACAUUUAAGAUCCAAACUGUUAACCCUUGGCCUCCCGAGUACCUGGGACUAUAGGUGCUAGAGAAUGCAGCCCUUUCUAAGGCUCUGAUGGUUCUUUAUGGCAGUUCUACACACAUCUUUUCAGCUUCAGUUCCUUGCGAGAGAAGAAAUCUGGUGACCGAGUGUAUGGGCUAGCAAGACAGGGAUUGGCUGCCUUGGAUGGGUGCGGCCCACUCUAGGUCCAAUCAACUGCUCCAUGUUGGAGGGGGCCAAGAGAGGAAGGGCUGUCCUGAGAAUGAUAGCUGCCUUCUGAAUCAGCUGGCUGUGGAUAGAGUCCUCUUCUUUUCCUUCAGAGGGGCUGUUGGUGGAUAAACACUGUGACUGAUAUCUCCAAUGCAUAUCCUUCAAAAAGGAGCUGUCUACUGAAAUAUCAACUUGGAAGCCCCUUCCCCCCGAUUUAAAUGCUCUCCUCUGGUGUGUUUUAUUUUAUUUUAUUUUUUCAUCUCAAAGUAUGAAAAAUAAUGUAGAAUAGAGGAGUGUUUGGAGACAACUUGUUUUGUCAUCAAAGUCUGUACUUUUAUUGCUUGGACAAUUCAUGUCCAGAUUUAAGCAUCGUCCGAUUUCACACAGAUAAAUAAUGAUUCACAGCUUCAGAUGCUGCUGUGUGUUUUUCUGCUGCCUUUCACAAUAAGACUUCAACUGCUCUUAAAACACUCACUAAAUCUCAUUAACAUUAUCUCCAACAUGUUAAUAGGAAAACCGGGUCUGUAGAACAGUGACAUUUUGUGAUUAAAAAUACACUUAUUUAAAUGGUUGAGUUGUCUCCAUUUGAAUAUUACCCACUACUUCCAUAAUAAUUGCAGAAGUUUUUCACAGAUGCAUUUUAAUGGGUAACCCUUGCUAUAUCUCUAGUAGCAGUUUAAAACCUUGAAUAAUAUGCCUUGAUUUGAUAUGUGCUAAUUGCUUAUCAAAAUUUAUUCCGUUGUAGCCUCUUGCUGCUGAAAUUACUUCCAAGGAGAAAACUGGGCACUUUUGAAAGGGGCAUUAAUGCCACUAGGCCGCUAGUGUCACAUUUAGCAUUCUAAAACAGUAAUGAUAAUGGCCUGAGAGAGUCAGUGCUCAUCCAAAGGCAUCCUGUGCUCAUCCAAAGAGGAUAGCAUGGAAAGCAUCUGGCCACCAAGGUAAAAACAAGAUGCAAUAAAAUCAUGUCAAUAUUAUUAUCAGUGCAUUUAAAAUUAUGAGUAACUCAAAGCAAUUACUGUUCUUUAGUGAAUAGACAUGCUUUAUCAUUCUAUUGUAAAAAAAAUGUCAAACCUUACUAAUUCAAAAUUUUAUGAAAGUUUUGUGGGGUGGUAUAUGUGUAUGAUACAAUGCUCCUGAUUUUGAUCUCAUAUUAAGGAGGAUAUACUUGAUAUUUAACUCUGUGGUCCGUUACUGCCAUUUUUCUUGAGGAAGGCUCAAUAUGCCUUACCAAUAAUCUGUUCUAUUUAGGGUUGAAGUAAGCCAUUGGGAAAUACCAGGAAUGUGGCAAUUUGAUGACUGACAAAGUAGAGGCAGUGAGGUAGCCACAUGUGCUUCCCAAGACUCUAAGUUAGCCGGGAUACUUGGGAUGGGCAAUAAGAAACCCGGACGACUCCAUACCCUACUUCAAGGUGGGAGGUUGGAGGAAACCACUGUCGGCUCAAGUCUGGCUUGAGCAGAGGCACAGAGAUGUGUGGAUGGCACUGGACAAAGAGCAUCUCGAGAACACAGGACAGGUAUAGGUGAAAUGAGACAUUGAUUCACAGUGGUAAGGAUGGUGGGUAGGAAUGUUUUUCAAUUUUCUCUCAUGCCACCAUUCUUAUAAUAUCUAUUUGGCUCCUGUUACAGCAACAUUCAGGGGGCUCUGACUCCCUCAGCUCUGUUUUCCUUUCCAUUGGUCUCAUUCUCAAGCAGGUGCUUGCUGUUUACAGGGAAAGGGGGUCACCAGCAGGUGCAGGCUCACAUGGUCCUCGCUGCUCCAAAGCUCUGGGGAAAAGCAACACCACUUUCUUUUCAGGGUCUGUACAUUAACCCACUGGAGAGUAUUUGCUUGGUCCUGCUGAUUAGGUGCCAAUUCUGUGGACACACUAUUAGGGAAGAGGUGAUAAAAAACCAUGAGUGGGGCUGUGGUUAUAGCUCAGUGGUAAAGCACUUGCCUAGCACAUGUGAGGCACUGGGUUUGAUCCUCAGCACCACAUAAAAAUAAAUAAGCGAAAUAAAGGUAUUGUGUCCAUUUACAAGUAAAAAAAUAAAAACAAAACAAAACAAAAUACCAUGACUGGCACAUUCCCAUCUUGAAGGAAAGAGGGGUGCUGGGCAGUCAAAAACAACCAAUGUCCUCUACAGCUUCCUACAGGCACUUUUCCUGAGCUGGAAUGGGUCUAUUUCUGACAUAGAUAAUAUUGUUUGUGAAGGGAAUUCUUGAGUAGGAGUAGCUCUUAAUGUAGUCUUGGUCCAGGUCCAUAUCCAGUCUGCUCAUAUCUAAUUCCAACACCCAUGCCUUUCCACCUGUUCUUCCCAAUGUUCACAAUGUCAUGCCUCUUCUGUGGAUAGUGCUCUUAAAGUGUGCCAGUGUUUCUGCGGCAAGAAGUCUUGAAUGCCAGACAUAUAAAUAUUUGCACCUAAUUUCUUCAUCUAUGGGGAAAUAUUCAUAAAUUUUUGAGUACAGGUAUGAAAUGACUGGGAUUUUCACUUUUGGGAGAUCAAUCUGGAAGUAGAGUGCAGGAUCGAUUGAGAGAGGGAACAACAUAGGAGACUGCUCAUGUGUCUGAGGUGGGGUGGGGGUUUUAAAUGGAGAUGAGGCCAAGAGAAAAGAAAAGAGAAAGUUCUUGGGAAAUGAUUUGACAUUGGGGAGCAAUAAAAAGAAAGGAUUGUUAAAUCAAAAAAUCAAACAAAAAACCCAAGCAAAAUAACUAAGCUCUCCAGUUUGGGAACUGAGCAAGAAGAGAAAAGGGAUAUUUCAUUUGAUGUGUAGCAGGCAAUUUGAAAUACUCAUUAGAGCUCGGGGGAGGGGAGGACAGAGCUGGAGAGAGAGAACUGCAGUCGAGUUGAACACUGAGAUUCUAUCCAAAAGACUGUAGCGAAAUAAGGGAAAGCAAAUGGCUUUCAGUCAUCUAGAAACCUAGGAGUCAUGGUUGUUUACUCCCUCCCUGCCUUUCCGAGAUUCCAUCUUACAGCCAUAUAUGGAAAGUCUACCUUCAAAUUUUAUUUUGACUCUGUCCCCUACUCCCUUCCAUGUCUGCUUUCUUCACCUUAGUUCAUAUCAUGUCUAUGCUGACCCUCUUGUCUGGAUAACUCCAACUGCAAUGGCCUCUGGACAGCCUGUGUCUCCACUCUUGCUACCUCCAAUCUGUCCUGAGAUAGUAGGAGAUUUUAAGUGGAAACAAUAUUGUUCACUCUUCUGCUCAACUCCCUGCAGCCCGCACCCCCCGAGGUUGGACUAAGAUUCCAGCCUCAUAUGAUGGUCUCUAGGGCCUUGCAGAACUUGGCCCUUGCCUCUCUCUCAACUUUAGUUCAUCACAUUUCAAUCACACUCAAUCUGUUGGUUUCCUAACCACAUCAGCUCUCUACCAUUUCUAAACUCUCUCAUUCCAGCUUAGGCUUCUGCUCUUCACUCCCCUAGUUCUCCACAGAGCACUUUUAAUACCUGAAGAAUCAUCCUGCAAGAAAAGACUACUCCUUGGUUACAUACCCUCCCACCUUAGCAUUUCGAAGAGCUGAGCAGGAACAAGGUGGAUAUCCAGAAACCUCUCCUGGUCUCAACCCAAGGCCAUAAAAAGUCACCAGACUUCCCUUUUAAAAAUGUGUUCCAAAGAAUUUUAAAGAUUGAAUUUAUUUUUACAAAUAUGUUCUACAGAAUUCCUUACUUGACAAAAGGACUCAUCUGGAGCUUUCUUAAAAUAUUGAUUUUUUUCCCUAAUAAAUUCAAAGCUUGUAGUUUUAUUUUCCACCAUUCAGUUCACACAAGUGUUCCAGGUCGUAGAAGAUAAAGCAUGCUUGUAUGAUUCCUCUGUCAUGAUGGUGAGGCAGAGGCACAAAAGCUUGCUGGGAAUGACAGACUAUCCACAAUAGAGUCGAGGUUAGAAACCAGAAAGUCAUUAGCAAUGAAUUUUUGCUAGAAUCAAAGAUUAGUUCUAUUUUCCCAAUAAUUUCCUCUUUAAAAUAAAGACUGCCAUACUUUUCUAAUACUCAAAAUGGACUUAAGGAUAAACAUCUUGAUUUUUCAUGCAGCACUGGGCAGGAGAUUUCCUGACCCUGAUUUUCCUUCUUUGGGGUCCUCCUCAGCCAGUUCUGGGGGCUGGGCUGGGCUGCUGUGCCUGUGCUAUUUUUAAUGGUACAUUUGUGUUAUAUCCAGUGAGCAACUAGGCAGAGAGGCUGUAGUAGGAUAUAUAACUUACAUUUUAGCGUAAUUUAGAAAAGUGAACAACAAGUUCUUUUUUUAAAUAAAAAAGGAAAUGAAAUUAAAAACAAGACAUGAGUUUAAUCUGAGGAACUUGACAUGGCAUGUUUAUCCCUUGUAAAUUUGGUUCUAGUUUGCCACCUCAGCUAUUAAACAAUAGGACAAAUGAGAGAAGUGUCACUCCACCUCUGACCUUGCUUGUGGGUUUCAACUGGGUUCCAUGUUAUGUUAAAGGGUUUUUAUGUUAACAGAUUUCUGUUUAUAUUAACACAGAUUUUUCAUAGAUAUAGUGAUUACUUCAGGGGUAAUUUAUAGGGAAAACCCCUCUAUAUACCUAGGUAUUUAGAAAAGUAUACCCAAGUAAAAUCUAGAUCCAAUUCCUGUCUAAACAUAACACCAUCAUCAUCAUCAAUAUCAUAUUUUGAUUUGGGUAGAAAAACUAAAGCUAGUCCUUGCUCAAAAACAUUUUCACAUUUAGAUAAUCUGACAAGUGUGGCUGUUCUUUUCACCUUGUCCCUCCUCCUGAGUGUAUCAAUUCUACUCAGGCAACUGGUGUAAAGGAAAUUGAAAUGUAAAUCCAGGGUUUAUAUUAACUACGAAGAACUUACACAUCAAUAGUACCCACCUAGAAGCCUUUUAGCUACAUGUUCCAUGUUUUAGUAAAAAUUUAGAAGGGAGAAAUAACAAAUUACUCUCUUUCAGCAUGAAGAAAUAAUUUGUUGGUCCUAAAAAUGUUUUUAUUUAGUGCUGCCAUGGAAAAAAAUCAAAUAAUUUUUGACCCAAACAUUCAAUUUUCCAUUAGGACAAAUUUGAGUAAUUCUGAGCUGUGAGCAGUGGUGCACGCUUGUAAUCCUAGAUACUCAGGGGUGUGAGGAAGAGCCUUGGCCAGCCUGGCAACUUAGUGAGACACUCCCUUAAAAUAAAAUAAAAAGAGAAUGGGAACAUAGCUCACUGAUAGAGCAUUUGCCUAGUGUGCCUGAGGCCCUUGUGUUCCAUCCCCAGCAUUACACACACACACACACAUAUAUAUACACAGUAUUAAUAAUAAUAAUAACAAUAAUAAUGAUAAAAAUAAAUUUAUGUAAUUCCAAAUGGAAACACAAUAUUUUCUUCAAAUUUUUCACAUCGUGAGCCAGGAACAACAAUAAUAGUUACUAUUAUUAGAUCUAUAUAUUGAACUAGUACUUCAAAAGUAUUAUUUGCCUAAUGUUUACAAUAAUCCCACAAGAUGUUUUAUUAUCUUCCAAUAAAUUAGGACUUAGAUAGAUUGGUAUGCCCAAUGACAUAGUGCUAAUAAGGGGCAGAUUCAAUAUUUGACUCCUGACUUCUAGGAUGUCAUACCACUUCCUUUGAAAUGGAGGUCCAGUCUUGUGGGAAAAAUUAUACUGCUUCAUGGCACUGAGUACACACACACACACACACACACAGAUUAUAUACACACAUACGUGUGCAUAUACAUAUAUAUGUGUACAUAUAUGUACAAAUACACACAUACAUACACAUAUACUGGCUAUAUAUAUAUAUAUAUAUAUAUAUAUAUAUAUAUAUAUAAUUGAUCUUUUUUUUAAAAUAAAGGAAACUAAUAAUAAUAGCACUGACAUUACCCUAAGAAUGGCAACAUUAGAUGUCCACAUCAUCUUAUGUACACUGAGUUACACUUUAUAUUCUGGGUUCUUCCUUCUUAUUUUAUAUAUUCUCAUUCAUUAUAUUUCAGAGACCCGUCCUGUUCCAUUUUUCCUUCCUUAGUUGGUUUUGUACCAUGCCAUUUACAAAAGACAGAAUAGCUCUGCAUUCGUGAAAAGUUGUAUGCCUACUGUAUUAUAAAUCCAAUGAAGUUUUAGGUAAACUUUUUUCUGAGAUACAGCAUACUUAUUGUAAAAUGCACGAAUCCUAAGUGUACAUAGCUCAAGGGAGUUUCUCAAAGUGGACACACCCAUAUAACCAGCACUCAGAUCAAGAAAUGGAACCAGUAGAUCCAAUGAUAUUUUAAUUUCUGAAUGAAAUAUUUAUUUUCAAAGUUUAUGUAAAUAAACUUUGUAAAGGUAAGAACACAACUGAAAUGUGUUUAUGUCCUACUUCAUGUUUUAUGUAGUCUGUUUUUUUUAAUUCAUAGUUUUCCUUUUUUUUUUUUAAAUUAGAGCUUUAUAGUUACACAUAGUAGUUGGAUUCAUCCUGACAAACUCAUACAUGAAUGGAAGUUGAGUUCAUGAUCCUCCCUUUUUCCUCCCAUCUUCCCUCCUCUCCCAUUCUCCUUCCUUUACUAGACUUCCUUUUGCUCAUGUAUUAGUUUAUGUUUGAUUUGUUCUUUAUGUUAUCCUAUAUUUUUUUUCCUUAAUUUUACUCUAGUUUCUGCAUAUGAGAGCAAACACUGGACCUUUGAUUUUCUUAAUUUGGCUUAUUUCACUUAGCAUGAUAUUCUUCAUUUUCAUCCAUUUAAUGGCAAUAAACUGCCAUAAUUUUAUCCUUUUUCAGGAUUGAGUAGAUUGUAUAUAUAUAUAUAUAUAUAUAUAUAUCACAAUUUCUUAAUCCACCAAUCUAUUGCUGGAGGUAUGGCUUGACUCCAUAAUUUAACUACUAUAAAUUAUGCUGCUAUAAACAUGGAGGUAACUAUUGUCACUCUGAAAUGCCAACCUUUUGGGAAAAACAACAAGAAAUGGGAUAGUUGGGUCAUAUGAUGGUUUCAUCCCUACUUCAUGAGGAAUAUCCUUACUUCUUUCCAGAGUAGACUAAUCUGCUGUCCCACCAACCAUGUAAAGUGUCCCAUUUUUUCCCACAAUGUUACCAUCAUUUAUUGAUAUUCAUUUUCUUGGUCAUUGCAUUCUGACUGGAGUGAGAUAAAAUCUUAGUAUACUUUUGACUUGCAUUUCUCUAAUUGCUAGAGAUGUUUAAAAUUUUUCAUAUAUUUGUUGGCUAUUUGUGUUUCUUUCAGAUCAGGUAUUGGAGGCUCCUAUAGGCUCAGGCUCAGGUAUUGAUGCUUCCUGCUUUGAUUUUCUUGCUUAGUAUUGCUUUGGCUAUUCUAAGUCUCUUAUUCUUCCAAAGGAAUUUAGGAAUUGUUUUUUCUAAUUCUGUGAAGAAUGUCUUUGGUAUUUAGUUGGGGAUUGCAUUGAAUCUGUAUAUUGCUUUUAGUAGUAUGACCAUUUUCACAACAUUGAUUCUGCCUAUGCAAGAACAAGGGAUGUCUUUCCAUCUUCUAAGGUUUUCUUCAAUUACUUUCUUCCAUAUUCUAUAAUUUUCUCCUUUACCUCCUGUGUUAGAUUAAUUCCAAAGUAUUUAAUUCUUUUGAGGUUAUUGUAAAUGGGAUGGUUUUCCUGAUUUUUUUCCCUGGCUGAAUCAUUAUUGGAGUAUGGGAAAGCUAUUGCUUUAUGGGUGUUGAUCUUGUAUCCUGCUACUUUACUAACCUCAUUUAUAAGCUCUAGAAGUCUUCUGGUAGAGUUUUGGGUUUUCUAGAUAUAGGAUCAUAUUGUCAGCAAAUAGAGAUAGUUUGACUUCUUCUUUUCCUAUUUGUAUCCCUUUGACUUCUUUAUCUUGCCUUAUCUCUCCGGCUAACGUUUUUUUUUCUUUUUUUUAAUUUUUAUUUAUUUAUUUUUUUAGUCAUACAUGACAGUAGAAUGCAUUUUUUUUACUUUGCUUAGUUCUUUUUUUAAAAUUUUUAUUGUUGGUUGUUCAAAACAUUACAUAGUUCUUGAUAUAUCAUAUUUCACACUUUGAUUCAGUAGAAUGCAUUUUGAUAUAUAAUACAUACAUGGAAUGUACAUACAUCAAUCAUAUUGUCUAUUCUAUUCUGCUGCCCUUCCUAUCCUCCCUACUCCUCCCCUCCUCUCCCAUCCUUUCUCUCUAUCCAAUGUAAUGUGACACAUUUUUUUCUCAUUACAACAUCAUAUAUGUAUUCUGUAUAACAAAGAGGUUCUCCUUCCAUCUUCUGUGUAACUCCCCUUCUCCCUCUUUUUCCCUCCCACCUCUCUUCCCUAUUUAGUGGUAGUCUUCUUCUCAUGCUCUUCCUCCCUAUCUCUGGCUAACAUUUUUGAGGACUAUAUUGAGUAGGAGUGGUGAGAGUGAACAGCCUUGUCUUCUUCAUGCUUUUAGGAAAAAUGCUUUUAGUUUUUCUCCAUUAAGUGUGAUGUUGGCUUUGAGCUUGUCAUAAAUGAUCUUUACAAUGUGUGGUAAAUUCCUUCAAUCCCUAAUUCUCAAGCAUUUUUAACAUGAAUGGGUGUGAAUUAUAUCAAAGAUUUUUCUGCAUCUAUGGAAAUGAUCAUGUGUUUUUUGUCCUUAAUUCUGUUUAAAUGGUGAAUUACAUUUAUUGAUUAGCAUGUGUUUAACCAACCUUGCAUCCCUGGAAUCAAACCCACUUGAUCAUGGUCUAUUAUUUUUUUGAUGUAUUUUUGAAUGUGGUUUGCUAUUAUUUAUUAAAGAUUUUUGCAUCUAUGUUCAUCAGGGAUAUUGGUCUGUAGCUUUUUUUUCCCCUUGAUGUGUCUUUUUUUUUUUUUUUUUGUAUUAGGAUUACGCUGGCUUCAUAAAAUGUAUUUGGGAGAGUUUCUUCUCUUUCAAUUUCAUGAAAUAAUUUAAGAAAAACUGGUGUCAGUUCUUCUGUAAAGGUCUGCUAGAACUCAUCUGAGAAACCAUCAGGUCUUGGGCUUUUCUUUUUUGGAUGACUUUUAAUUGCUGUUUCAAUUUCAUUACUUGAUAUUGGUCUGUUUAGGUUUUCUAUAUCUUCCAGAUUCAUUGUGGGCAGGUCACGUGUGUCUAGAAAUUUGUCAGUGUCUUCCAAAUUUUCCAGUUUAUUGGAGUAUAAAUUUUCAAAAUAGGUUCUGAUAAUCCUCUGGAUUUCAGAAGGGUCUGUGGUGAUAUCUCUUUUUCCACCUCUGAUCUCGUUAAUUUGGAUCUUCUCAUUCUUUGUUUUGGAUAUUUUGGCUAAAGUUUUGUCAAUCUUAUUUAUCUUUUCAAGAACCAACUCUUUGUUGCAUUGAUCUGUGUAUUGUUUUCAUUAUCUUAAUUUCAUUGAUUUCCACUCUAGUCUUAAUGAUUACCUAUAGUUUUCUUAAACCCAUGAUAUGUUUAAAGAGACCUUAGUUGAGCAAUGAAAGCACCAAGAUAUAGAUACCUCUCCCACUAACAGUCCAUAUGGAAACAGCAUCCUACAAUCAUUGAACUGCUUUCUACUGGCUAUUAAACUAAAACAGUCUCUUUGUUGUGCAUAUCCAGUAAAGACGCUUCUGUUCUGAAAUUUUAAAAUUUGCUUAUCUUUGAGAAGCAACAUUUCUGUAAGGACUUUGCCCUUUUACUCACCGGUAUGGGGUUCAUAUUCAUUGGAGAGAAAAGGUUCCAACUAAAGCCUGUCGGUUUUUGUUUUUUGACUGUCAACACGUGGGGUAUGGACUUUUCUGAAGUAUUAGACACAUGAUAAUUUACAAACUUGUCAUAUUUUUAUCUCCAUGUUUUAGGGUUUGCUUUCGCAUCACCAAAGAUCUGCUGCUGUCGCACACACUAAUACAAGCAUCGCUUCUGUUGCUUCUGUGGAAAAGCGUGCACGCUGCCGAAUCAGGCUCAGCACGUGAAGGGAGUCUGCUGUGUUUCACAGAUGAGUCACCCAGGAUGGUACAGAUGGUACAGAGUGACGUUUCAAAGAUGUGAAAAAAUACUGAUGAAGCCCAGAUUGAAGAUUAACCUAACAAGGUGAAUGGGGUGAGUAGAUGAGCCUGAGUUAAAUAUUUUAGGACAAAAUCUGCCCCAAUUGUACCACUUAAUGUUGCAUGAUCUCAAGGAAGUCUCAAGUUAUGCCAAAUAGUUUCUUUUAUGAGACAACUCUUAAGAUUUCUAGACUUGUACAGAAAAUGUGGCAUUAUAGUAGAUCUCAAAUGUGGCUACGUUAGAAGCUUCUAGGGACUCAGAUUGAAAAUACAAAUGUCUGGGUAACAGUCUACACUACUGAUGGAGAAAUCUAUAAAGUUGCAUCGCAGGUGUCCGUUUUUGAAAAGCUCCUCUAGUGAUUUUUAUGCUCACUCAAUAAAGUCUGAGAAUUGCUUCAACAUGGGGUUUAAAUUCCAUAUAUAAAUUAUUAUGGAGAAGUAAAAUGGUAAGCAUCAUUGAAUUCUAGAGUUCAAAAGAAACUUAGAUAUCAUUUUUCACAGAAAGAGGC